UAACAAUACGAUUUCAGCCGACCGGAACACCGUCCCGUGUACGCUGUCAUUUUCGAAUGAUGCGCACGGUACACGCAUUGUUGUGCAUCAGGUGUGUGUGCACGUUUCGAUCACGGAGAAACAUGCGUUACGGGCGAUUAAUUGUAAAUUGUUCGUAAUGUAUAAUGCUUGGCAAUUAUAUAUAUAUAUUUUUUUUUUAAUUUUUUUUUUUAAAAAAACAUCUAGCAUGUAACUACGUUAUAUUUAUACACUAUUAGUUUUAGAUUUAAAAAAAAAAAAAAAAACCCUGAAAUAUUCGUACGUUUAACGUUUGACAUUUGUGUACAAUAUUUGUGUAAUAAUAAUUUAACCUAACCUACAUAUUAUGCAUUAAUAUUAUUAUUAUAUACAUGUAUUACGAAGCGUAAAACACUCUAAAAAAAAAAACAAAAAAAAACCCGUG